rnacentral:rRNA from 1 species
UGGGGGAUAUUGCACAAUGGGCGCAAGCCUGAUGCAGCCAUGCCGCGUGUAUGAAGAAGGCCUUCGGGUUGUAAAGUACUUUCAGCGGGGAGGAAGGCGAUAAGGUUAAUAACCUUGUCGAUUGACGUUACCCGCAGAAGAAGCACCGGCUAACUCCGUGCCAGCAGCCGCGGUAAUAAGGAGGGGGCAAGCGUUAAUCGGAAUUACUGGGCGUAAAGCGCACGCAGGCGGUCUGUCAAGUCGGAUGUGAAAUCCCCGGGCUCAACCUGGGAACUGCAUUCGAAACUGGCAGGCUAGAGUCUUGUAGAGGGGGGUAGAAUUCCAGGUGUAGCGGUGAAAUGCGUAGAGAUCUGGAGGAAUACCGGUGGCGAAGGCGGCCCCCUGGACAAAGACUGACGCUCAGGUGCGAAAGCGUGGGGAGCAAACA